UGUGCCUCUUGUAGCCUUUAGAUGUGUCACUUUUUCCGUUAAGAAGAUUUCUUCAGCGAUUAUUAGCCAUUAGUCCUUUGUUGUUGUUGGUGCAACCUCCACCCAGUUCCUUGUAAAAGCUUUUUUACUUGGUGCUAACACUAUUUUAACCAAAUAUUUGUCACGUCCCAUUACACUUUUUUCAGAGAAAUUAUAGAGCUAAAGUACCAAACAACUCUCCCAGCAUUUUGGCAUCAUUUUUGAUGUCUGUGUAACUGCGUACUUUCAGAUUUUUUCAGUAGAAUUUCCUCCAUGUCUGUGUGUUGGUGAAUUUAUGAUGUUGAACUCUGAACACUGUGUAACUGGAUAAUCCAAAGCAGAUCGCAGCCUGAGUCGAGUCCCUCCUCUGCUUCCCGCUGUUGUCAUCUCUACACCCAGACAAAAUGGACGAAAGAGGAGAUGGAGUGCAUGUCGGUAGAAAUCGCCCAUACAUUCUCCUGUAUUUUAACUCAAGAGGGGAUCAAGCAGUGCCCAAUGAGCGUCAAGCUGGACUCCCUGUCUGGUUGGAAUUUUUCUUACGUCAUGAUUUGGAGGAGAUUGUUUUAGCUAUGGUCAAUGAGUUGAUUAAUGAAGAAAACAAUAACAACAACAAUGAAAACAACGUUGACAAUGCUGGGAACAAUUAGAAGAUUGAUUUCUACAGCAAGAUAAAUGAUUUGUUAUGACAAACUUGUUUGGAUUGUUUGGACAUCAUUUGAUACAGAUUUAAUUUGUUCUGACAUAUCUGACACUUUGUUAUUAGGUUAUGGAUUUUUAGGGUUGGUAUGAUAGAUUUAUUCAAUAUGGACUAUGAGUUAUUAGUAACGUUUGCUACGUUUGUUAAAAUACUGAAGUCUACUUUACAGGAAUAGUUUAACAUAAAAGAAAUUGGCAAUUGGGGCAAACAGCUAGCUCGCUGUCCAAAGGUAACAAAAUCCACCUGUUAGCACCUCAAAAGCUUACUAAUUAACACAGUGUAUCACAUUUGGUUUAAUAUAUACAAAAACUAAAGCUAAGGUAAACAACUGCUUUUGUGUUGUGUGUGUGAUUGUUAAUUGUUAAAUUGGCUAGACAAUGAAUAUUUGCUUGUUUACUCAUUUUCAAAUUUGUUUGUUCACUUAUUAUUCAUUGUAUUAUCUUUGCCCCACCAGACACUGUUUUGGUCCACUCUCCAUGCGACUUUAACCCCUACCAGGAGCCUGCCAGACUCAGAUUUUGUCUUCCCUGGUUUAUGUGCUUCUAAAUAUGUAAAUAUGCUACGUAGUUGAAUUGUUUCUCUUUUAGCUGUUU